GAAUUUUUAUUUUCAAAACUUUAGAAUUUUUAUUAAAUCAAAAAUCCGAAUUUUUUUUAUAGUAUGGGUCGUGAAGACCGAGCAUUUCUAACUUGAGCCCAAAUUUGAAUUGAGCCCAAGCCCAAAAACAGAACGUUCAGAAAUUUCGAUGAAAUAAAAUGGAACUCUACGAUAUAAACUAAUUAUCCUAAAUUAAUUUAUUGUUAUCAUUAUUUGUUGUACUAUUAGAAAGUUAAUUGAAGAGAUGUUUUAUGACCCAACUAAAUAAUUAAAUAAAUUAAACCGGACCUAAAAAUUAAUUAACUGUGUCGAAACCACACGAAUAAUUGAAAAACCGAGCGAAAAAAAAAAAAAAAAAAAAANN
rnacentral:lncRNA from 1 species